CGAGAUUCGUUCAGUCCGACGGCUCAGUUCGUUGACGCCGGAGAUCCCGCCACCGCAAACAUUGACGUGGUACUGACGCUGAAUGGUUUGCCGCUGGGAGCAGCCGUCCGGGUUUACAACCGAAAGUUCGUCUUCGAUGCUCGCGAAGAGCGCGGCGACGGAGCUGGAGGAAUCGUGACAUCACCCGCGGCGAUUCCGGGCACCGGGACGCUGACACUGCUGCUGCGCGACCCGUUUUCGCUGCGCGUCCCGGCAUUCCCGAGAACGCUACCAGCGUUCCCGUCGAUCCGAUCCUGCGAAUCGACGUCGUCAUCGUCAAACAGGGCGGCGAAUCACGGAUCUACGGCAACGUCGAGGCGAAGGUCGCUGCCGCCGCUGCUGUCGUUCUGCCGGCACCGGUCUCUAACAGCUUUACAGGGCCGGCUGUCGCCGGCGGACUCCCGCGACGCGGCGUUUCCAACGCGGGAAUUCUCGGGUUGAAGGCACCGCCGGUCGAACAGCGCUGGGACUAAAUCCGCUCGACGCAGCCAUUUCUUCCGUGCUGGCAGCUUGCCGGAGAAACCGACCCGCGAGAUGCUCCGCGGCUGCCGACGAUGGCCCGUCGCGAUCUGCUGGUUGCUGGUCGUGCGGGUGGCAACUGGAAGGGCCGUGCUGUCCGGCGGACGCCUGACGUCAGAGGCACACUCGGCCGAUCCGCGCCGGGGAAAGUCCCGGAUCGCCGGGAGGUCGCGAGACUCAACUGGUCGGCUUGUCCACACAGAACGGCAGACUCGCCUGGGACAUCGCGCGGAUGGCUUAUCGCCGCACGACACAGAUUGUGCCAGCGAAUGAUCGGGCUCGCUCAGUCUCGCUGGAACGAAACCGGCUGAACCCGCCGCGGGCAACGGUUCCUUUGCGGCCGCCGUCCUGCAGAACAUAGCGCCCGGCUGCGAAACCCCCGAAUUCGGACCGCUGCGAAGUGUCCUGGAAGCAAACAUCGACGAUCUGCCGGCCACGUUUGACGAACUCGUUGAUCAAGUCAGCGACUUCCUUGACAACGCGAUAGCCCCCGUCAUCAAUCGUUUUCCCAACGGACCCAUUAAGACCGAACUGGAAAAUCGCCGCAAUCAACUGCUGCAAGCACUCGAAAAUCUCCGGGACGACAAUACGCUGGGGCGAAUCCGUCAACGAACGGCUGUUCAAUGAACUCCAUCGGGAAUUGUUUUCGUCGACUCACGGGCGACGCGACACGCAAUGGGCUCUGGAUGCAGCCAUUGCACGAGCGCGGCGGUUCAUCUACAUCGAAUCGCCAGGAUUCGCACCGACACGCCGAGAUUAUGACACCGACGUUCCGCCCGUCGAUGUGCCUCCGUACGCGACGAAUCUGCUGGCGAGAAAUCGCUGUGCGCCUGGCCGAAGUUCCGGGGGCUUCACGUGAUGGUUUGUACGC
rnacentral:misc_RNA from 1 species